GAUGAACGCUGGCGGCGUGCCUAAUACAUGCAAGUCGAGCGAACAGACGAGGAGCUUGCUCCUCUGACGUUAGCGGCGGACGGGUGAGUAACACGUGGAUAACCUACCUAUAAGACUGGGAUAACUUCGGGAAACCGGAGCUAAUACCGGAUAAUAUAUUGAACCGCAUGGUUCAAUAGUGGAAGACGGUUUUGCUGUCACUUAUAGAUGGAUCCGCGCCGCAUUAGCUAGUUGGUAAGGUAACGGCUUACCAAGGCAACGAUGCGUAGCCGACCUGAGAGGGUGAUCGGCCACACUGGAACUGAGACACGGUCCAGACUCCUACGGGAGGCAGCAGUAGGGAAUCUUCCGCAAUGGGCGAAAGCCUGACGGAGCAACGCCGCGUGAGUGAUGAAGGUCUUCGGAUCGUAAAACUCUGUUAUUAGGGAAGAACAAAUGUGUAAGUAACUAUGCACGUCUUGACGGUACCUAAUCAGAAAGUCACGGCUAACUACGUG
rnacentral:rRNA from 1 species